UUGGCCAUGUUUUUGGUUGGAAUGUAGUGACUAGAUCACUAAACGCUGCCAUAAAUAACAUGCCAGUUAUUUUCAUCAAAAAUACA
rnacentral:sRNA from 1 species